GCUGGGCAUGGUGGCACACGCCUGUAGUCCCAGCUACUCAGGAGGCUGAGGUGGGGGAAUUGCUUGAGCCCAGGAGAUUGAGACUGCAGUGAGCUAUGAUGGCGCCACUGCCCUCCAGCCUGGGCAACAGAGUGAGACCCUGUCUCAA
ensembl:misc_RNA Metazoa_SRP Metazoan signal recognition particle RNA